rnacentral:rRNA from 1 species
CGUAGCCUACGGGAGGCAGCAGUGGGGAAUAUUGCGCAAUGGGCGAAAGCCUGACGCAGCGACGCCGCGUGAGGGAUGAAGGUCUUCGGAUCGUAAACCUCUGUCAGCAGGGAAGAACGGUCACUGUGCUAAUCAGCAGUGAAUUGGCGGUACCUGCAAAGGAAGCACCGGCUAACUCCGUGCCAGCAGCCGCGGUAAUACGGAGGGUGCGCGCGUUAAUCGGAAUUACUGGGCGUAAAGCGCUCGUAGGCGGUAUGUCCAGACAA